rnacentral:rRNA from 3 species
AACCGAGUCUUAACCGGGCGUUAAGUUGCAGGGUAUAGACCCGAAACCCGGUGAUCUAGCCAUGGGCAGGUUGAAGGUUGGGUAACACUAACUGGAGGACCGAACCGACUAAUGUUGAAAAAUUAGCGGAUGACCUGUGGCUGGGGGUGAAAGGCCAAUCAAACCGGGAGAUAGCUGGUUCUCCCCGAAAGCUAUUUAGGUAGCGCCUCGUGAAUUCAUCUCCGGGGGUAGAGCACUGUUUCGGCUAGGGGGCCAUCCCGGCUUACCAACCCGAUGCAAACUGCGAAUACCGGAGAAUGUUAUCACGGGAGACACACGGCGGGUGCUAACGUCCGUCGUGAAGAGGGAAACAACCCAGACCGCCAGCUAAGGUCCCAAAGUCAUGGUUAAGUGGGAAACGAUGUGGGAAGGCCCAGACAGCCAGGAUGUUGGCUUAGAAGCAGCCAUCAUUUAAAGAAAGCGUAAUAGCUCACUGGUCGAGUCGGCCUGCGCGGAAGAUGUAACGGGGCUAAACCAUGCACCGAAGCUGCGGCAGCGACACUGUGUGUUGUUGGGUAGGGGAGCGUUCUGUAAGCCUGUGAAGGUGUGUCGUGAGGCAUGCUGGAGGUAUCAGAAGUGCGAAUGCUGACAUAAGUAACGAUAAAGCGGGUGAAAAGCCCGCUCGCCGGAAGACCAAGGGUUCCUGUCCAACGUUAAUCGGGGCAGGGUGAGUCGACCCCUAAGGCGAGGCCGAAAGGCGUAGUCGAUGGGAAACGGGUUAAUAUUCCCGUACUUGGUGUUACUGCGAAGGGGGGACGGAGAAGGCUAUGUUGGCCGGGCGACGGUUGUCCCGGUUUAAGCGUGUAGGUGUGUGUUCCAGGUAAAUCCGGUUCACUUUAACACUGAGGCGUGACGACGAGGCACUACGGUGCUGAAGCAACAAAUGCCCUGCUUCCAGGAAAAGCCUCUAAGCAUCAGGUAACAUCAAAUCGUACCCCAAACCGACACAGGUGGUCAGGUAGAGAAUACCAAGGCGCUUGAGAGAACUCGGGUGAAGGAACUAGGCAAAAUGGUGCCGUAACUUCGGGAGAAGGCACGCUGACACGUAGGUGAAGUGAUUUACUCAUGGAGCUGAAGUCAGUCGAAGAUACCAGCUGGCUGCAACUGUUUAUUAAAAACACAGCACUGUGCAAACACGAAAGUGGACGUAUACGGUGUGACGCCUGCCCGGUGCCGGAAGGUUAAUUGAUGGGGUCAGCGCAAGCGAAGCUCCUGAUCGAAGCCCCGGUAAACGGCGGCCGUAACUAUAACGGUCCUAAGGUAGCGAAAUUCCUUGUCGGGUAAGUUCCGACCUGCACGAAUGGCGUAAUGAUGGCCAGGCUGUCUCCACCCGAGACUCAGUGAAAUUGAACUCGCUGUGAAGAUGCAGUGUACCCGCGGCAAGACGGAAAGACCCCGUGAACCUUUACUAUAGCUUGACACUGAACAUUGAGCCUUGAUGUGUAGGAUAGGUGGGAGGCUUUGAAGUGUGGACGCCAGUCUGCAUGGAGCCGACCUUGAAAUACCACCCUUUAAUGUUUGAUGUUCUAACGUGGACCCGUUACCCGGGUUGCGGACAGUGUCUGGUGGGUAGUUUGACUGGGGCGGUCUCCUCCUAAAGAGUAACGGAGGAGCACGAAGGUUGGCUAAUCCUGGUCGGACAUCAGGAGGUUAGUGCAAUGGCAUAAGCCAGCUUGACUGCGAGCGUGACGGCGCGAGCAGGUGCGAAAGCAGGUCAUAGUGAUCCGGUGGUUCUGAAUGGAAGGGCCAUCGCUCAACGGAUAAAAGGUACUCCGGGGAUAACAGGCUGAUACCGCCCAAGAGUUCAUAUCGACGGCGGUGUUUGGCACCUCGAUGUCGGCUCAUCACAUCCUGGGGCUGAAGUAGGUCCCAAGGGUAUGGCUGUUCGCCAUUUAAAGUGGUACGCGAGCUGGGUUUAGAACGUCGUGAGACAGUUCGGUCCCUAUCUGCCGUGGGCGCUGGAGAACUGAGGGGGGCUGCUCCUAGUACGAGAGGACCGGAGUGGACGCAUCACUGGUGUUCGGGUUGUCAUGCCAAUGGCACUGCCCGGUAGCUAAAUGCGGAAGAGAUAAGUGCUGAAAGCAUCUAAGCACGAAACUUGCCCCGAG